rnacentral:rRNA from 1 species
AGCGAACGCUGGCGGCAGGCCUAACACAUGCAAGUCGAACGAACCUUUCGGGGUUAGUGGCGGACGGGUGAGUAACACGUGGGAACGUGCCUUUAGGUUCGGAAUAACUCAGGGAAACUUGUGCUAAUACCGAAUGUGCCCUUCGGGGGAAAGAUUUAUCGCCUUUAGAGCGGCCCGCGUCUGAUUAGCUAGUUGGUUGAGGUAAUGGCUCACCAAGGCGACGAUCAAUAGCUGGUCUGAGAGGAUGAUCAGCCACAGUGGGACUGAGACACGGCCCAAACUCCUACGGGAGGCAGCAGUGGGGAAUCUUGCGCAAUGGGCGAAAGCCUGACGCAGCCAUGCCGCGUGAAUGAUGAAGGUCUUAGGAUUGUAAAAUUCUUUCACCGGGGACGAUAAUGACGGUACCCGGAGAAGAAGCCCCGGCUAACUUCGUG